rnacentral:rRNA from 1 species
UACGUAGGCAGCGAGCGUUGUUCGGAGUUACUGGGCGUAAAGGGUGUGUAGGCGGUUGUUUAAGUUUGGUGUGAAAUCUCCCGGCUUAACUGGGAGGGUGCGCCGAAUACUGAAUGACUUCGAGUGCGGGAGAGGAGAGUGGAAUUCCUGGUGUAGCGGUGAAAUGCGUAGAUAUCAGGAGGAACACCGGUGGUGUAGACGGCUCUCUGGACCGUAACUGACGCUGAGGAGCGAAAGCGUGGGGAGCGAACAGG